rnacentral:snRNA from 1 species
GUGCUCGCUUCGGCAGCACAUAUAUUAAAAUUGGAACAAUACAGAGGAGAUUACCAUGGCCCCUGGGCAAGGUUGACAUGAGAAUUCAUGCCGGGUGUGGUGACACACUGUA